GUUGAACGCUGGCGGCAGGCCUAACACAUGCAAGUCGAGCGAGCGGAGGACGGGUGAGUAAUGUCUGGGAAACUGCCUGAUGGAGGGGGAUAACUACGGUAAACGGUAGCUAAUACCGCAUAACAUCAGAUGUGCCAAGAGGGGAUUAGCUAGUAGGUGGGGUAAGGGACCACCAUGGGGCCGAUCCCUAGCUGGUCUGAGAGGAUGACCGGCCACACUGGAGCUGAGACACGGUCCAGACUCCUACGGGAGGCAGCAUUGGGGAAUAUUGCACAAUGGGCGCAAGCCUGAUGCAGCCAUGCCGCGUGAGUGAAGAAGGCCUGCGGGUUGUAAAGCACUUUCAGCGGGGAGGCGUUACUCGCAGAAGAAGCACCGGCUAACUCCGUGCCAGCAGCCGCGGUAAUAC
rnacentral:rRNA from 1 species